UCCCUGGUGGCUCAGAUGGUAAAGCAUCUGCUUACAAUGCAGUAGACUCAGGUUCAAUCCCUGGGUUGGGAA
rfam:TPA: Bos taurus chromosome 13, whole genome shotgun sequence.